UGCCAGAAGAUGAUGGUCAUGCCUUGUUAGC
rnacentral:piRNA from 1 species